GCACAAACUACUUAGGCGGAGUUGCUCAGGGAUUAUAACACAUUUGCAAAAAAAAUUAAGUAGGAUAAAAAAUAGUACGAAAGAAAGGGGUUGAAAUAUCACCUGAUGGUGUGGUAUGAACCAAUGAACCAGCAGUUGAUUGAUUGGAAUGAUGCAUGAGACCCGUAGAUUGGACAUGUGCAACAAAAUCACGAAGCCAAGCUGGCUUGUUUACAAUUCUACUACUUUUUCGUAAGGCAGGUUGAACAGAGUUAGGUAAAUUUAAUAUUGGUUGGGGAGGUGUAGGUGAGUGCGAAGGUUGAUUGAGAGAAGAAUCUUAAGUGGAUGGAAGAGGUGAACUAAUUUCAGAAUGUGAAGGAGAAACAGGAUGUGAUGAAGUAGUAAAUGUUGAAGAAUUAGAGGGAUGGGUGUAUAAUUGUUGAUCGUGCUGUGGGACAGGUAUUACGGGAGUUUGUGUAUUAGUGUGUUCAUUUGAAGUGGGGUGUUGUGGUGAUGAGUGGGGUGGUGUGGUGAUGAGGCAAAAGGGAAUAUAGUUUCUUUAAACAGUAUGUCUUGGGAAACAAGUGUGGAACCAGUGUCAAGGUUGUAAACUCUAUAUCCUUUCUGGCCAGCUGGGUAGCCAAGAAAAACACAUCUGAGUGCUCACUGCUCAAAUUUGGCUUUGUGAGGUACUGUGCUAGUUGCUUAGCACAAACAUCCAAAAGUGCGCAUGUGGAAGUAAUCAGGGGUCUUGUGAUAUAAUGCUUCGUAUGGCGUCUUCCACUGUAAAACCUUAGUAGGUAAUCUGUUGAUGAUGUAGGUUGCAGUAAGUAACAAUUCCCCCCAAAACUUUGAUGGUAGAGAAGAUUGAAACAUUAGGGACUGAUCAAUUUGAAGUAGGUGCUUGUGCUUUUGUUCUACAACCCUGUUUUGCUAUGGGAAAUACACACACGAUUAUUGACGAAUAAUUACCAUUUCUUGAAACAUUUGUUCACAAGUGUUGUUAAGGAAUUCUCUACAAUUGUCGCUAUGAAGAAUCUUGACGGAAGUUUGAAAUUGGUUGGUAACUGUAGUAAAAAAAAAAACUUUUAGCACAAAAGGUGUUUGAGUUUUGUCCCACAAGAGAUUAGUCCAUGUUGCCCGAGUAUUAUCAUCAGCAAUCUUUAGCAUGUAAUUAGCACCAUUUAUGGAAUGCACUCUGUAUGGCCCCCAAAAAUCAACGUGGACUAGAUGAAAUGGCAAAUCAGCACUUCUAUCACUUGAUGGAAGCAGUAAUUGCUGCUGUUUGGAAAAAUGACAAACACUGCAGUCCAUGAUAUUACUGGUGUGUGACAGUAGUGGAAUAUGAGACAUAGUGAUAUGUGAGGUGUGACUCAAUCUGUUAUCCCACAUGUGAGUUUGAAUAGGAGGAAUUUUAUUCUUAUCAACACAAACAGUAGUUGGCUUAGUACAAUAGCUCUUAACAGAAGCAGUGAAUUCGGGUAUAGAUUGGUCAUGGAAUGUUUCUGCCAAACGAAAAGAAGAAUUGUCCAAUGUAUACAAGCCUCCUAUCAUCUUUCCAACAGCCACAGCUUUCUUAGUGCAUUGGCCCUGUAACAAACAGUAUUUAGGAAAAAAGGUUAGAAUGAGGUUAGAUGUUGUAGUGAGUUUCCCUACAGAUAACAAACUAUGUUUGAAUGUGGGGAUAUAAAGGACAUCUGUUGAACAUAGAUUUGGGUUUGAAGAAACAGUACCUAUGCUGCUUACAAAUUGUUUUGUGCUAUCAGGUAAAAAAACAUGCAUUUGACUUGUGGGUGGUUGAGAUGAUUGAAAACGUUUGUUAUUAGAGGUCAUGUGUGUGGAAGCACCUGUAUCUAUAAUCCAAGAACCAUCCCAAUUAUAUUUGGUGCUAAAGAGAGAAUGACAAGGAUUUAUACCUGCAUAGCCAAAAAAAUUUAGGAUUAUUAUCUUCACUCUGUGCCUUGCCCUUCAUGUAUUUAGCAACCUCUUGUUGAACGACUGCAGAAAAAUCUUUGCCCAAUCAGUUACCGGUUCCUCAAGUGGAGAAUCUUGAACUACCGCAUUUGCUUGCAUCUUGUUAGAUUUCUUUUGGUUGAAAUCUUGAAACCACAAACAGAUCGAAGCAAGAAACUGCUCCCUCUGAUCUAUUAGAUCAGAAUCAGCUUACUACGCAAAUCACUAUUCACACCGGAAAAUAACUGCUCUGAUGCCAUGAGAGAAUUUGUAACAGAGAGAAAAAUAUAGAGGAAACAUAAAAGACCACUUUGCAUUCAUCUAUCACUGUUUAUAUACAGAAUGAGCCAACAUUCAUUCACCUAUCUGUGAGACUAGCAAUUCUAAUAACAACCUUUCCAGCUCAGUUACAGCUGAUAACCUCCCUAACAAGUUUCCCGCCUUCUAUAACUUGCAUAACUUCUAUAAGUUGGUGUUUCAUUAAUUUAAACACUUUAUUUGGGUUUUCUAUCCUCAAGGGUUUGUAUUACUCAGUUGAAAUGUUGUUCAUUUUGUGGUAUCAGGUUUUGGUGGCUUAUUUUUCAUGUAUGUUACAAAGAUUCCUUAACUGUUUGCUUCAAUAGAAAAUAGGUGGAUUUAUUUUCCUCAAAAGAUUUAUUUCUUCAAGGUUCAUUUUUAUUUGAUUAAUUUAGUGUCAAAAUAACAUUUCUUUAGUAAUCAAUCCCUUUGUUCCCCACAAGUAGGAUGCAAGAUGAGAUAGAUAUUGUUAUUAUGCUUUCGGAAUAUUCACUUAUCAAGAGAUAAAGUGAGAGUUAUUCAAACUGAAGAUUGAAAAUGUUUACUUCUAAUCUGGUUCUAAAUAUCUAUCUACUUGAAUCAAGCCUGGAAAAGUUUCUUUGUAUCUUAAAACUUCACAAGUAAUCAAUCACUCUAAACAAAUGAAGCGAAGCGCGUUGUUUUUGUUUUAGGUUGUUAUUUUUGUUGGUUUUUUUUGCUUUUCUUUAAUUAUCAUUUUUAGACUUCUUUGACUGGAAGUCUGAAAGACAAUGUUUGAAGUGUUUAGCUGCAGUUUUAUGCUUUUUAUUUCUUUGUUUUAUAUAUAAUAUUUUACAGGAGGGUUUGCACAAAGAAUUAUCUGUCGAGGAUAAUGACAGAGAUAAUGAUUUAGAUGAAUCACAACCCAUUCUUUUGGUUGGUUCCAAGGAGA
rnacentral:misc_RNA from 1 species